rnacentral:rRNA from 1 species
AACCUGCGGAAGGAUCAUUAUUGAAUUAAUGUAGAGUUUGGUUGUAGCUGGCUCCUAAUUAAACUUGGGGGCAUGUGCACACCUUUCUCUUUCAUCCCAUACACACCUGUGCACCUGUGAGACAGAUGUUUUGUGGGGGGGAAGGAACUUUAUUGGACCUUCUACUCCCCCUUGACUUCUGUCUACUUAAUUCAUAUAAACUCAAUUUAUUUUAAAACGGAUGUAAUGGAUGUAACACAUCUAAUACUAAGUUUCAACAACGGAUCUCUUGGCUCUCGCAUCGAUGAAGAACGCAGCGAAAUGCGAUAAGUAAUGUGAAUUGCAGAAUUCAGUGAAUCAUCGAAUCUUUGAACGCACCUUGCGCUCCUUGGUAUUCCUUGGAGCAUGCCUGUUUGAGUAUCAUGAAAUCUUCAAAGUCAAACCUUUUGUUAAUUCAAUUGGUUCUGCUUUGGUAUUGGAGGAUUAUUGCAGCUUCACACCUGCUCCUCUUUGUGCAUUAGCUGGAUCUCAGUGUUAUGCUUGGUUCCACUCAGCGUGAUAAGUUAUCUAUCGCUGAGGACACCCUGUUAAAAAGGGGUGGCCAAGGUAAAUGCAGAUGAACCGCUUCUAAUAGUCCAUUGACUUGGACAAUAUCUAAUUUAUGAUCUGAUCUCAAA